GACGAACGCUGGCGGCGUGCUUAACACAUGCAAGUCGAACGAUGAACCGGGUGCUUGCACCUGGGGAUUAGUGGCGAACGGGUGAGUAACACGUGAGUAACCUGCCCUGGACUCUGGGAUAACCCCGAGAAAUCGGAGCUAAUACCGGAUAGGACCUCUCCUCGCAUGAGGUUUGGUGGAAAGUUUUUCGGUCUGGGAUGGACUCGCGGCCUAUCAGCUUGUUGGUGAGGUAAUGGCUCACCAAGGCGUCGACGGGUAGCCGGCCUGAGAGGGUGACCGGCCACACUGGGACUGGGACACGGCCCAGACUCCGACGGGAGGCAGCAGUGGGGAAUAUUGCACAAUGGGCGCAAGCCUGAUGCAGCAACGCCGCGUGCGGGAUGACGGCCUUCGGGUUGUAAACCGCUUUUAGUAGGGAAGAAGGGCUUCGGCUUGACGGUACCUGCAGAAAAAGGACCGGCUAACUACGUGCCAGCCGCCGCGGUAAAAC
rnacentral:rRNA from 1 species